rnacentral:rRNA from 1 species
GACGAACGCUGGCGGCGUGCUUAACACAUGCAAGUCGAACGAAGUGGCGAACGGGUGAGUAACGCGUAAUCAACCUGCCCUUCAGAGGGGGACAACAGUUGGAAACGACUGCUAAUACCGCAUACUGAAGGCGGGGAUUGCGUCUGAUUAGCUAGUUGGAGGGGUAACGGCCCACCAAGGCGAUGAUCAGUAGCCGGGCUGAGAGGAGGAACGGCGAAAUUGGGACUGAGAAACGGCCCAGACUCCGAAGGGAGGCAGCAGGGGGGAAGCUUCCGAAAUGGACGGAAGUCUGACGGAGCAACGCCGCGUGAGUGAUGACGGCCUUCGGGGUGGAAAGCUAUGUGAAUCGGGACGCGGUACCGGAAGAGAAAGCAACGGCUAACUACGUGCCAGCAGCCGCGGUAAUUC